UCUUUUUUAAUAGUUCUGUUUUUUUAUGAAAUUAAGUACACAAUGAGAACAAUAUGCCAGAGGUUCAUAAAUUGCAGAUAAAUUGAAAAAUAUGAAAAGGAAAAAAGUAUAAAUAAUACAAAUUAGUAUAUGCAAAAUACAAAAAAAACAAAACAAGAUAACAUUAAAAGUGAUACACUCAUUUACAGUCUUACUCACAUUCAUUCAUCGAUUAUAGAAGAAAUUGCCUUUUGUUGGUCAAUUUACUUAAAUGAAACUUAUCGAAGAUAAUUUUAAGCUUUUUCUGUUAUCAUCAGUUUAUAGUCUAAAUAUAUAGUAUAUAAGUCUGGUGCAGUGAGGGCCGAAGAGCAAAUGUACUUCGGAGUAUUGGGGCCACAUUGAGGGGAAAAACAUCUGAGAUUUCCAGAAUAAUGUCUAAUAUUACGAGAAUAAAGUCAUAACUUUACGA